rnacentral:rRNA from 1 species
GACGGGGGGGGCAAGUGUUCUUCGGAAUUACUGGGCGUAAAGGGCUCGUAGGCGGCCAACUAAGUCAUACGUGAAAUCCCUCGGCUUAACCGGGGAACUGCGUCUGAUACUGGAUGGCUUGAGUUCGGGAGAGGGAUGCGGAAUUCCAGGUGUAGCGGUGAAAUGCGUAGAUAUCUGGAGGAACACCGGUGGCGAAGGCGGCAUCCUGGACCGAUACUGACGCUGAGGAGCGAAAGCCAGGGGAGCAAACGGG